rnacentral:siRNA from 1 species
CAUACCUCUUUGACCGUCUCCU